UGGGAAAUCAUAACUUGGGAAGCAGAGACUUAGGGGAUGAAGAGCUGAGUCCUCUGGGACCUGUCUUACGGUGCUCCUGCAGAAGGAUCACUAACACAACUGGACAGGAAUGGUUGGGAGCAGUGGGUGGAGUUCAUGUAUCUCAAACAUAGAAAAUAUGUUCCAUCUGUUUCACUGCCAGCCUGGAGAAUCUGCAUUCUCUUCUGCUAGGAAUGCAGAAGGGAUAAACACUGAGAAAUCUGCAUUUGCCAUCUCCAACAGCAUUCUUGAG